UUCUUUCUUUCGUACCCUGAC
rnacentral:siRNA from 1 species